CCUACGGGUCGCUGCAGUGGGGAAUAUUGGACAAUGGGCGAAAGCCUGAUCCAGCCAUGCCGCGUGUGUGAAGAAGGCCUUCGGGUUGUAAAGCACUUUCAGUGGGGAAGAAAGCCUUGGGGCUAAUACCCUCGAGGAAGGACAUCACCCACAGAAGAAGCACCGGCUAACUCCGUGCCAGCAGCCGCGGUAAUACGGAGGGUGCGAGCGUUAAUCGGAAUUACUGGGCGUAAAGCGCGCGUAGGCGGUCUGAUAAGCCGGUUGUGAAAGCCCCGGGCUCAACCUGGGAACGGCAUCCGGAACUGUCAGGCUAGAGUGCAGGAGAGGAAGGUAGAAUUCCCGGUGUAGCGGUGAAAUGCGUAGAGAUCGGGAGGAAUACCAGUGGCGAAGGCGGCCUUCUGGACUGACACUGACGCUGAGGUGCGAAAGCGUGGGUAGCAAACAGGAUUAGAUACCCGGGUAGUC
rnacentral:rRNA from 1 species